rnacentral:snRNA from 1 species
GGAUGUGAGGGCGAUCUGGCUGCGACAUCUGUCACCCCAUUGAUCGCCAGGGUUGAUUUGGCUGAUCUGGCUGGCUAGGCAGGUGUCCCCUUCCUCCCUCACCGCUCCAUAUGCGUCCCUCCCGAAGCUGCGCGCUGGGUCGAAGAGGACGACCAUCCCCGAUAGAGGAGGACCGUUCUUCGGUCAAGGGUAUACGAGUAGCUGCGCUCCCCUGCUAGAACCUCCAAACAAGCUCUCAAACAGAAUUCUGUGCAACACCAAACCCCUGCUUCUUAUUUCACACAUUG